rnacentral:lncRNA from 1 species
CUAGCUCAAAAAUCCUAAGCUACAAAGAAAAUCAAAGAUAAAGAAAAAGACAUGGGUUACCUCCCAAGAAGCGCAUGAUUUAACAUUGUGGCACAAUGCAUAUUACCACCACAUCACUUCAAAUCAAGAAGCGCCACCACGUGUCUCUCAUCAAACUCUCCAAGAAGCAAUAAAUAGCACGCCCAACAAGUUGGUUGAGCAUCCGAUCAAUGAAUG